rnacentral:rRNA from 1 species
GACGUAGGGGGCAAGCGUUGUCCGGAAUUACUGGGCGUAAAGGGCGUGUAGGCGGUGCGGUACGUUGCGGUUUUAAGCCUCCGGCUCACCCGGAGGAGGGCGGCUAAACGGCAGCACUAGAGGGCAGGAGAGGUGCGCGGAAUUCCUGGUGGAGCGGUGAAAUGCGUAGAGAUCAGGAAGAACACCGGUGGCGAAGGCGUCGCACUGGCCUGGCCCUGACGCUGAGGCGCGACAGCGUGGGGAGCAAACGGGAUUAGAUACCCCGGUAGUCCACGCCGUAAACGAUGGAUACUAGGUGUCGCGGGGGUCCACCUCGCGGUGCCGGAGCUAACGCACUAAGUAUCCCGCCUGGGGAGUACGGCCGCAAGGUUGAAACUCAAAGGAAUUGACGGGGGCCCGCACAAGCAGUGGAGCAUGUGGUUUAAUUCGACGCAACGCGCAGAACCUUACCAGGACUAGACGGGAUCGUGAGCGCCGCGAAAGCGGCGGGCCCUUCGGGGAGCGAUCGUCAGGUGCUGCAUGGUUGUCGUCAGCUCGUGUCGUGAGAUGUUGGGUUAAGUCCCGCAACGAGCGCAACCCUUGUCGUGUGUUGCCAGCGGUCCGGCCGGGCACUCACACGAGACUGCCGGUGACAAACCGGAGGAAGGUGGGGAUGACGUCAAAUCCGCAUGGCCUUGAUGUCCUGGGCUACACACGUGCUACAAUGGUCCCGACAACGGGCCGCGACGGCGCGAGCCUGAGCGAAUCCUUCAAACGGGACCUCAGUUCGGAUUGCAGGCUGCAACCCGCCUGCAUGAAGUCGGAAUUGCUAGUAAUCGCCCAUCAGCAUGGGGCGGUGAAUUCGUUCCCGGGCCUUGUACACACCGCCCGUCACACCACGAAAGUUGGCCACACCCGAAGCCGGGCGGUCCAACUGCCGCAAGGCAGAGGAUCCCGUCGACGGUGGGGCGGAUGAUUGGGGUG